rnacentral:rRNA from 1 species
AGUGGCAGACGGGUGAGUAACAUGUGGGUAUCUACCCUUUGGCCUGGAAUAACACGAGGAAACUUGUGCUAAUACCGGAUAAGUCUUCACGGAGAAAGCUUUAUGCACCAUUGGAUGAGCCCGCACUUGAUUAGUUUGUUGGUAGGGUAAUGGCCUACCAAGACUAUGAUCAAUAGCUGAUUUGAGAGGAUGAUCAGCCACAUUGGGACUGAGACACGGCCCAAACUCCUACGGGAGGCAGCAGUGGGGAAUCUUGCACAAUGGAGGAAACUCUGAUGCAGCGAUGCCGCGUGAGUGAAGAAGGCCUUUGGGUUGUAAAGCUCUUUCGUCGGGGAAGAAAAUGACUGUACCCGAAUAAGAAGGUCCGGCUAACUUCGUGCCAGCAGCCGCGGUAAUACGAAGGGACCUAGCGUAGUUCGGAAUUACUGGGCUUAAAGAGUUCGUAGGUGGUUGAAAAAGUUGGUGGUGAAAUCCCAGAGCUUAACUCUGGAACUGCCAUCAAAACUUUUCAGCUAGAGUAUGAUAGAGGAAAGCAGAAUUUCUAGUGUAGAGGUGAAAUUCGUAGAUAUUAGAAAGAAUACCAAUUGCGAAGGCAGCUUUCUGGAUCAUUACUGACACUGAGGAACGAAAGCAUGGGUAGCGAAGAGGAUUAGAUACCCUCGUAGUCCAUGCCGA